UACGUAGGGGGCAAGCGUUGUCCGGAAUUAUUGGGCGUAAAGAGCGCGUAGGCGGUCCGAUAAGUCGGCUGUGAAAGUCCAGGGCUCAACCCUGGAAAGCCGGCCGAUACUGUCGGACUAGAGUCCGGAAGAGGCAAGUGGAAUUCCCGGUGUAGCGGUGAAAUGCGCAGAUAUCGGGAGGAACACCAAUUGCGAAGGCAGCUUGCUGGGACGGUACUGACACUGAGGCGCGAAAGCGUGGGGAGCAAACAGG
rnacentral:rRNA from 1 species